AUGGAGCUGGCUCUCGGCUCGGCGGCUUCGCUCCUCGGCAAGGUGUGGACGACGCUGUCCGACGGCCUGGUGGCGGCGUACGUGGACAGCCUCCAGCUCGGCCACAACUCGGAGCAGAUCAGGGCCAAGCUGCUGCAGACGCAAGGCCUGCUGCACAACGCCCAGGCCCAGGGGAGCCACGUCGGCGACAACCUUGCCCUGCAGCGCUUGCUGGAGAAGCUGAGAAGGGACGCCGACCAGGCAGAGGACUUGCUGGAUGAGGUCCACUACUUCCACAUCCAUGACAGGCUCCACAGCACCAACUACGCCACCACCCAAGAUCUGGACGGCCUUGUCCGCGGUCAAGCUCUCCUCGCCCGUAGUGCUCUUCGCCACACCCUAGGCAGUUGGUUCCAGUGUUUUUCUUGCUCCCGUACACCCAAGACCAAUAGGGAUGGUGGUGAUGCUGCUGCUGCUGCUGUUGCCAGAGCACCACGCCACGUCACCAACUCCAGUUCUGCUACUGCUGCUGCUGUUGCCGGCGACACCAACUCCAACUCUGCUAGUGCUGAUGAUGGUGAUACGCUGCAUUUCGACAGAGUGUCCAUGUCCAGAGAAAUCAAGUCCCUGUUACAGGGCAUGCAGUCCCACUGUGAUUUGGUCUCCAAUUUGCUCAGCAGUACCCCAAUCAACAACACGGCAGUCGUCCGACAUCGGCCUCAGACUGGUUCCAUGAUUAUACCAGACACAUUGUAUGGCAGGACAGACACUUUUGAGGAAACUGUCAAUUGUAUCACCGAUACUGGUGCCACAAAGACUAUUUCUGUUCUUCCUAUAGUUGGUCCAGGGGGUAUUGGAAAGACAACUUUCACCACUCACCUGUACAAUGAUGGAAGGACUCAAGACCACUUCCAAGUCAGGGUCUGGGUAUGUGUAUCCACUGAUUUCGAUGUGCUUAAGCUCACCAGGGAGAUCCUUGCCUGCAUACCUGCAACUGAAGAAGGAGGAAGCAGCAGUGUUGCAAAUGAAACAACCAAUUUAGAUCAUCUUCAGAGAUCCAUUGUGCGACGUCUCAAGUCCAAGAGGUUUCUAAUUGUCUUGGACGAUAUAUGGAAAUGUGACGGUGCUGAUCAGUGGAAAACCCUGUUAGCUCCGUUCGCAAUGGGGGAAACCAAAGGAAGCAUGCUACUUGUCACAACUCGAUUCCCAAAAGUAGCAGACAUGGUGAAAACAGUUGAUCCACUAGAGCUGCGAGGUUUGGAGUCUAAUGAUUUCAUCACAUUAUUUGAAGCAUGUAUAUUUGGUAGCUAA
rnacentral:rRNA from 1 species